rnacentral:rRNA from 1 species
GCGUAAAGCGCACGCAGGCGGUUUGUUAAGUCAGAUGUGAAAUCCCCGGGCUCAACCUGGGAACUGCAUCUGAUACUGGCAAGCUUGAGUCUCGUAGAGGGGGGUAGAAUUCCAGGUGUAGCGGUGAAAUGCGUAGAGAUCUGGAGGAAUACCGGUGGCGAAGGCGGCCCCCUGGACGAAGACUGACGCUCAGGUGCGAAAGCGUGGGGAGCAAACAGGAUUAGAUACCCUGGUAGUCCACGCCGUAAACGAUGUCGACUUGGAGGUUGUGCCCUUGAGGCGUGGCUUCCGGAGCUAACGCGUUAAGUCGACCGCCUGGGGAGUACGGCCGCAAGGUUAAAACUCAAAUGAAUUGACGGGGGCCCGCACAAGCGGUGGAGCAUGUGGUUUAAUUCGAUGCAACGCGAAGAACC